AGGGAAAUAGCUCAGUGGUGGAGCACAUGCUUAGCAUGCACAAGGUCCUGGGUUCAAUCCCCAGUACCUCCA
rnacentral:tRNA from 1 species